AGCAACACAUUUGAUCAAUUCAAGCAGCUAACCAAAACCGUGCUGCCUAAUGAAAUGAAUUGCUCCCUUGUACAACAUGAGAUGAUUCCUCCUCAGUUCCCGCCGGAACUUUCUUCUAACCGAAAUUUCUUUUUCUGCUGCUAAGUGCUGACCACAAACUACUGAAAUGGAGAAACCCUGGAUGAUAUUUCCACCGCAGCACUUACAGGUGAUUUUUUGCAGUGUAUGGCACAACAGCAGGGAGAACAACAAAAACAACUUGCCCAAGUGAUCGAAGGUUCUUCUUCUGUCUUCUCGGCCUUGAUUGAUUCCGGCGCGGAAGGAAACUUUAUACACACGAAGGUGGUUAAUCAGCUGGACAUCAGUGUUCAACCCCUGAAGACUACAUUGAAGGUUUCUGCUCUGGAUGGAGGCCCUGUUGGAGCAGGAACUAUUUCUUUGAUAACAGAACCGGUUAAGUAUUUCUCAUGGCCGUCAAGUUCUUUCUAGACUACUAGAGAACCAGCUGUACAUCAAAGGAGAGAAAUUGUUUUCUAGGGUAUCAACCUCCUGUAAUGCCUUGAUGUGGAACUACAUCGGAUGUACCCGCUGUGGAUGACUGGAUGAGGCGUAGUGAGGAGGUAUGGGAGCAGACGCAUCAACGCAUAGAAACCGUAUUGCGACGGCAAAAGAAUCAAGCAGAUCGCCAUCAAGGAAAUACUCCCACCUAUCAACCAGGAGACCGGGUGUGGCUGUCAACACAAGACUUCAGGAUCUCAGAGGGGAGUAAAAAAUUAUCACCCAAAUACAUUGGUCCAUAUAAAAUUUUAAAACGUAUUAAUGAUGUCACAUAUAAAUUGGAUUUACCUGGGCAUUCUCGUAUGUCAAAUUCUUUUCAUGUAUCUCUCCUGAAACCGGUUGUCACAGGUCCACUGAACGAGACCAUGUCUGGUGAGACUCCUCCACCUCC